rnacentral:tRNA from 1 species
AGGGGAGUAGCUCAAUUGGUAGAGCACCGGUCUCCAAAACCGGGUGCUGCGGGUUCAAGUCCUGUCUCCCCUGCCA